GACGAACGCUGGCGGCGUGCUUAACACAUGCGAGUCGAACGGAAAGGCCCUGCUUGCCGGGUACUCGAGUGGCGAACGGGUGAGUAACACGUGGGUGAUCUGCCCUGCACUUCGGGAUAAGCCUGGGAAACUGGGUCUAAUACCGGAUAGGAGCCAUUUUUAGUGUGAUGGUUGGAAAGUUUUUUCGGUGUAGGAUGAGCUCGCGGCCUAUCAGCUUGUUGGUGGGGUAAUGGCCUACCAAGGCGGCGACGGGUAGCCGGCCUGAGAGGGUGGACGGCCACAUUGGGACUGAGGUACGGCCCAGACUCCUACGGGAGGCAGCAGUGGGGAAUAUUGCACAAUGGGCGCAAGCCUGAUGCAGCGACGCCGCGUGGGGGAUGACGGCCUUCGGGUUGUAAACUCCUUUCGCUAGGGACGAAGCUUUUUGUGACGGUACCUAGAUAAGAAGCACCGGCUAACUACGUG
rnacentral:rRNA from 1 species